GGGGCCAGGGCUAAGGAGGGGCGGGGGCCAGUUUGGGAGCGGGCGGGGCGGGGACGGGCUGAGGAGGGGCGGGCCAGUAGGGAGUAGGCGGGGCUUGGGUGGGGCGGGCUGAGGCGGAACGGGGGCGUGACCAGGGCGGCCCCCAGUGGGCGUGGCGGGCUGAGGGGCGGGGCUAACUUGGCGUGGGCGUGACCUGGGCGGGGACGUGGGCGUGGCGGGCCCGGAUGGGCGGGGUAUGGGCGGGGCGGGCAGGUGUGGCCGGCGCAGGCGCUAACCGGCUCUUGCGGAAAGCGGUGUAGAAGCGGCGAGUAGAAACUGAGGAACUGUAAGAUGGACACCCUGCGGGUGAAAGCGCCCUCGGACUCGACCUGGGCGUCCCUCUAGGGCACAGCGAGUGCCUGCGUCAGACACCUCCCCGGCGCAGGGAGUGAGGAAAGGGCCUGCCCCCGGGCGUUCAAAGAGAUCCGUUCAGGAAAGAAGGGAGGGCGCGUUUCCGAAGCUCCGACUUCAGGACCUUCUGGAAGCGCUCCGCGGGUAGAGGAGGAGCCAGGCAAGUGCCGGAAACGGAAGCGGGUCACAGAAGAGGGGGCGCCCCGCCCCCCGCCGAGGCCCCGCCUGCCGGGAGCAGGAGCUCCGCCCGUGGCAAAGGUCAUGAGGAAGGAGGCUGGGCAUACGCAAAGGUGGGAUGGGGCCUCAGGAGUCCCCCUGGAAAUUCUCGAGCAUCUGCCCCCCAAACCAGAGUCUGCCUACUUUCUGCUUUGUGCUCUCACCUACACCUCUGACUUUACGGGGGGCUGUCCCCCACUACCUCUCUCUGAAAAAGGAGUUAACUUAUACCUCCAGUUAAUAAAGUUCCUGCGUGUGAUAGUGUUUCAACCUACAAACUCCUUUGGAAAUCCUCUAGCCUGCCUGAAUAGGUUUUUCCGGCCACAUGUGAUUGCUCAGACUGUGAGAGGCAUGAGAUGUUCUAAACUGUCUAAAUACAGAGUCCUUUGAGCAGUUAAAAGAUUGAUUAGAAAUUGUAUCGGUGAAGGGUUUUUCACUUAUUGGGCCAAUGUUUGCUGCUAAGUCUCCAUACCCCUUACCUAUUGUGUCCUUGGCAGUGUAUUGAUUGAUAUAAUGGGUGUAUAGAAAUGUAAGUAGAAGCCUCAAUGUUUGUAACCUUGGACCCUUGAGUUAAUUCUUUUCUUGAUUGAGCCCACCUCACCUUUGCCCUAUAGGAACGCAGCUUUGUCCAAUGCUUUUUGGAGGCUGGCGCCUGACUUUAGAAUAAUCACCUUUAGAGAAAAAUAAGUUUCUUAAAAUGUUAACAGGCCUCCUGGCCAGAAGAUGAUGUAAUUCACCUGAACUCUUGCAUGUGAUAAGUUUGAAAGCCUGGCUUUGAUUAGGAUCAGGAACUGCUGUCCUUGCAUGACACCAUCCCUUCCCCUAUUAUCCUCUAUGCACAACUUAAGGUAUAAAAACUACUUUGGAAAAUAAAGUGCGGGCCUUGUUCACCGAAACUUGGUCUCCCCAUGUCGCUCUCUCUCUCAAAUUCUGGCUGAGUCUCCAUCUGGAGCGCGGAACCUGCCACGCUUACUAAUUAUGCCUGGGCUUCUAAGAUCCGACUGAGGAGGCCUCAGUGUCUCCUCUCCUUCGGGAGAACGGAAGGACGCCUGCGGCCUACGGGCUUGCGGGAGGACGGGACACAUCCCAGCGGCGCCUCACUGGCCAGCGCCCAGCGCUCGGCACUCACCCCGUCUCGUCAGGACGUGCGCCCGGGCCACGUAGAUCUUGGAGAGCAUGAGGAUGAAGAUGAAGUGCACCAUGGACCCCGUGAGGCUGGCGAUGCGCGAAGCCUAUGUGGGACGGCAGGGUGAUGGAGGAGGGAACCAGAGCCCACCACCCAGCCAGCCAGCAGGAGCAAGGAUGGAAGCUCACCCAGGCUGCGAGGAUGCUGUUGUCUGGCCCAGACACCAGGAUGGCCGUGAGGGCCCGGUACACAGUGAUGGGCACCAGGCACAGAGCACCACGGCCACAUGCGGGGCAGCGGGUGCAUGAGCCUUGCGGCUGCAGCCUGACACCCCAGCACCCUCAGGGCACAGCCGCAUGCUGUCCCACUCCCAGACCAGGCUGUGCGCCCGGCCUCUCCUGGCGGGUUGCUGGGCAGCGAGUGGUGGCCGGCAGGGAGAGGAGGGGUGGGCAGUUCCUUAGAGUUAGAGGUAGGCGACUCAGCGACCUCUGGGCAGCACAGGGGCCUCUGUGUCUUGUUGUCAGCCAACCCCCAUCUCACUAGCUGAAACUGGGAAUUCUUGAGGUCUCCGAAGGGGGUCAGUUAGGAAGUCCCUCUGACUAGAGGGCAAGACAGGGUGAGGGGACCUGUGCUUGAAGGAUGGCCCAGGCCCCUGCCCCACACGCACCUGCCUCUUAUGGCCCAGAUCCCUAGCUCAGCCCCUCCCUGGAGCCCAGGAACACCGUGGCCUUUCUGAGGACAGUGAGGGCCUCCUGGGUCCCAGAGACAAUAUCACGCCCUGCCCCACAGCGGGGAGUGGGGGCUACUGCUCACUGAGGACAGCGGCCUGACGGGCAGCGCCCGGCAGCGGGGAUCCUCACCAUUGUCAGGACCACCACGGAGCUGGCCAGCACCUGGCGCAGGCGGCUCCUCUCAGGGAGCAGCACGGGCCACAGCGCCGUGAACAGACUCAAGAAGACCGCGCCUCCGUGGCCAGGGAGCCGCCGGCCUGGACGGGGCAGCGGGGCUCCCCCGUGCUUGGGACUGGGCCCUUUUCUCCCUCCUGCCCCGCCCUCGAGGAAUGCCCCCCAGCCCCGUCCCUCGCUGCCCACC
ensembl:lncRNA